GCGAACGGGUGAGUAACACGUGAGCAAUCUGCCCCUGACUCUGGGAUAAGCGCUGGAAACGGCGUCUAAUACCGGAUAUGAGCCGAGCAGGCAUCUGCAUCGGCUGGAAAGAACUUCGGUCAGGGAUGAGCUCGCGGCCUAUCAGCUAGUUGGUGAGGUAAUGGCUCACCAAGGCGACGACGGGUAGCCGGCCUGAGAGGGUGACCGGCCACACUGGGACUGAGACACGGCCCAGACUCCUACGGGAGGCAGCAGUGGGGAAUAUUGCACAAUGGGCGCAAGCCUGAUGCAGCAACGCCGCGUGAGGGACGAAGGCCUUCGGGUUGUAAACCUCUUUUAGCAGGGAAGAAGCGAGAGUGACGGUACCUGCAGAAAAAGCACCGGCUAACUACGUGCCAGCAGCCGCGGUAAUACGUAGGGUGCGAGCGUUAUCCGGAAUUAUUGGGCGUAAAGAGCUCGUAGGCGGUCUGUCGCGUCUGCUGUGAAAUCCCGAGGCUCAACCUCGGGCUUGCAGUGGGUACGGGCAGACUAGAGUGCGGUAGGGGAGAUUGGAAUUCCUGGUGUAGCGGUGGAAUGCGCAGAUAUCAGGAGGAACACCGAUGGCGAAGGCAGAUCUCUGGGCCGUUACUGACGCUGAGGAGCGAAAGCGUGGGGAGCAAACAGGCUUAGAUACCCUGGUAGUCCACGCCGUAAACGUUGGGAACUAGAUGU
rnacentral:rRNA from 1 species